AAAGAGAGAAAGAGAAAGAGAGAGAGAGAGCACGAGUCUUUCAUCUCAGUGAUUUACAAGCAUUGGGCCUUCAGAAAGGCGUAGCGAUGACAUGAGAAGGCCGAAUUAGCCUCAUUACUCUCACAUCCACCAGAGCAGGAGGAUUCCUGAUUGCAUUCUGCCAACUUUGUACCAGUCGUCGGGCUCGAAGUAUGCAAGAAGCUGGCUACCUGGGACAUUUCCUGUAUGCAUGAACUAGGGAUACCAGACCAGUCUCCCCAGGGAGUAUAUCCAAAGUGCUUCUGUGGGCUGCCUGGAAGAGCUGCUUCUUGUUGGCUGGGCAUAAUUCAAAGCAGCCUUCGAGUUGCUCAUGAAUAACUUAUACGUUCCUAGAAAUCAGGCUCCAGGUUUGAAUGCUCCACAAACAGAAGAGACAGCUAAAUGCUAAUGAUGCUAGCCUGACCAGCUCCAUUUGGAUUGAAGCAGAGAAGAGAAAGAGGAGUCAGAAAUGGCUGGUUAAUUGUGCGCUGCUAAACUAGGCAGCUGGGUAAGAAAUCCCUCUUCUGCGGUUGGCCAAGAUCAACUCCACUUGUUUCUUUCCUGUUUUUUUUUUUCUUUCACCUCUCUGAAUAUUUUAUGAGCUACCAACUCACUUCCUGCAGUUGCUGAUUAAACUUCUGACAUUUUAUUAAUAAAGAGCCACAACUCCGAA